CUCGCUCCCUGUUGCUCCGCGUCAGAAGGCUUUCAUUUUCUUCCCUGCUUGCCUUCGCGUCCCCGGGAAAAAAGGGGGAGGGAACCCCACCAUUUGCUUGUGACGGCAGAGACGCUUCUUGAACAUUCAGAGGAGCCCGGAUCGGGCCACGGGGGGCCCGUCUCGUCCAGCAUCCUCCGCUCGCAGGGGCCAAAGAGAACCUGGGCGUCAAGAUAGACUGCCUCCGCACCUGGAGGUUCCAACACGAGAAGAGCCAGGCUACUGGAUCCAGCCAAUGAGCGAUCAUAGCGCAGCAUCCUGUUCUCACAGUUCUGUGGCCCUUCAGCCAAAACCAAAACAAGGAUCUAGUCCUCACCGUUCUGAAGACAGGUGAGGACUAGUUUGAAUAGAAGCGCUCGAAACUGCCUGGCAUGGGCAGGCUUGAUGGCCAAGUCAGUGGGAGGGGCACAUGCCACUGGAGGGCAGGGCCAGGAGCAAAGUGGGUGGGGCAACAUAUGCUAAUUUACACCCACACCGACCCCUCUAUCCUCCAGCCAAGCGGGCAAGAUGCGUUUAGUCUGCAUUCAAGGACAGAUUCCAACCAGGUCAAAAUACUCAAAGAAGGGGCGGAGCAAGAGCGGUAAGGGGCGUGGCCUGGGAAUGUGGGCGUGACCUAAAGGUGGGGCGUGGUCUGGGAGAGGGGGCGUGGCUUGGGGUAAGCGCUGUGGCUAAGGGGGACGGUAGCUUGGAGAGCGUCCCGGGCGCCAGAAGCAGAGAGCUUCGCAUUUGUUGCGCCCUCUUUGGGGCCUUAUCCUUCCCACCCGUGAUUUGGAUAGAAAACCCCACUUCCUGCUGAACCCUGUUUCCCCUUGCCGACCAGCGCCUGGGACGAAGCUUGCGUAGGUGAUUCCUGCUGGUGAAUCGAGCCCGUGGGCCAGAUCCCUCCGCGCCUUUUCUCCACCGGUGCACAAAACCUGCCACUCCUCCUCCUCCUCCAGGUUAGCUGUGAUUCCCGCGUUGCAGGAGCGGGUUGGACUAGAGGCCCCUUGGGGGUCCCUUCCAACUCUACCAUUCUACAAUCCUGUCCCCUCGAGGCAGCAGAGGCCCCGGCUGCCAAGUGCGGUGUGGGGAGGGGUGGGAUAAGCGCUCUCUCUCCCCCCCCGAACUCCCCGUUUGGCGAGGCGAGGAGAAGAGCUGUAAUGAGCGCCUUCCUUCCUUCCUUCCUUCCUUCCUUCGCUCGCCCGCCUCCCCUUCUUUCUCCUC